rnacentral:rRNA from 1 species
GACGAACGCUGGCGGCGUGCUUAACACAUGCAAGUCGAACGGAAAGGCCCUGCUUUUGUGUGGUUCUCGAGUGGCGAACGGGUGAGUAACACGUGAGUAACCUGCCCUUGACUUUGGGAUAACUCCAGGAAACUGGGGCUAAUACCGGAUAGGAUCUCCUGCUGCAUGGUGUUGGUUAGAGAGUUUCGGCGGUUGUGGAUGGACUCGCGGCUUAUGAGCUUGUUUGUGGUGUAGUUGUUUCCCAAGGUUUUGACGGGUAGCCGGCAUGAGAGGGUGACCGGCCACAUUGGGACUGAGAUAGGGCACAGACUCAUACGGGAGGCAGCAGGGGGAAAUAUUGCACAAUGGGCGGACGUGUGAUGCAGAAACGCCGCGUGCGGGAUGACGGCUUUCGGGGUGUAAACCGAUUUCUACGGUGACGAAGAGUGAGUGACGGUAACGGGUAAAGAAGCACCGGCUAACUACGUG